rnacentral:lncRNA from 1 species
GGCAAAGAAGUUUAUAAUUUCCUUGAUUACAAACCAGAAUAAUCCUUUUCCUGAAGCUCAAAGAAGCUUCUUGUGACUAGUAAGACUGCAAAGAGUGUUGGAACUUACAAAGAUGUGGGCUUCUAAUGCUUUAUAUAAUUUAAUUAGGUUUUGGAUCAGUAAUAUAUUAGGAAUUUUGCAUAUGGAGUGUGUCGAAUUGAAUUUGUCCAUUAUAGUUAUUCAAAGAAAUAAAGAUUAGACCUAGAAGAUUAUAGGGAGAGGUAUGGGAGAAUUGCAUAGCAGUGCAUGUGAGAGGGACAUAUCACUACCAGAAGAAAGACUUUAGCCGACGAAAAUAAAAAAACCAGGCCGACGAAUUAUUUCCCUUCGUCGGCUAAUUAAAAAUUUUCGUCGGCUAUGGUCAACUUUAGCCGACGAAAUUAAAAUUUCGUCGUCUGAAUAAUUUUUUUCGUCGGCUAUAGUCUGUGAACUUUAGCCGACGAAAUUUUUAAAAGUUUAGCCGACGAAAAAUAUAAUUUCGUCGGCUAAAGUGCCUUAAUUUUCGUCGGCUAAAGUGCCUUAUUUUUGCAGAUAUUGACAACAACUCAUCUGGGAAAAAAAANNNNNNNNNNNNNNNNNNNNUAUAUAUAUAUAUAUAUAUAUAUAUAUAUAUAUAUAUAUAUCCGCACAACCCUUAAAGUGCAGACGUCCCUCUGUUCUCCACCGUCCGGCGUACACAAUGGCGCUCCUCCACCCGAGCAGACACCAGAGGCAUCCCCGAUGACUUUUUCUUGCCGGCGAGUUCGCCGAAUACAAGUUUGCAGCCGAGAUCAAUCUUGUCUAAAGUUUUCGAAGGAGGUUGCUGCCCAGACCUUCAAAUCGAUCUCGCCGGCAAGAGAAAGUCAUCGGGGAUGCCUCUGGUGUCCGCUCGAGUGGAGGAGCGCAGUCGUCGGCACUGUCCGGUGGAGAACCGAGGGGCGUCUGCACUUUAACCUUGAUGUAUUUCUGACCCUAUUUAGCUAUAAUUCCUUUAACAAUAUUGAGUUUAACUUAGUUUGUGUUUUUAGGUUGCGAAUAAAGCCGAGGAGCACAAAAGAAACAUACGAGGAGAAAUCUUGAAGGAAGAGGAAUCCAUAUGGCGCAAGAAAAGAAAUCAGAAAAUCUGCCAGGAAUAGUCAGUCAACUUCGACAAAGUAUUGUGAUCAGCUCACAAUGAUCCAAGAGACGAGCCUUAUAUCAAUGGAAAGCUAGAAGAGUCUAGUUUCCAUAAAUUUUUCCGGAUUGUCAAUAGCUAUUUUGGAGAAGAAGUUAUGACCGUUUGAGUGACCGAAGGUCAGUCUGCCCGAAUUUCUGAUUUGGACCGAAACUUCAAUUUCAAGGCCUAAACCACAACGGCGAGCCCACAGACGAAAAUUGAGGGUUCUCUAACCCUAAUAGAAGCUUUUUAUAUGUUCCCUAUAUAUAGGAGGAGUUGGAGCCGUAAAAAGUGUCGCUCUUUGCCGCAGAAAAACAAUGUCUUUCUUCUCCUUCAGAAAUUCCUCUCCAAACACAAAUCCUAGUUUUAGGACUUCUCUUGCCGUGCCUUCUCAUUUGUAAUCCUCGGCGUAGUUCCUUGUUUUAAUACUCAAAGUGUAAUCUAAACUCAGACCUCAUGUUUUCUUUUACUAUCUAUUCAAUUACUUUAGUUUGUUUCCAUCUCUCUUAUUCGUUUGUGUUCAUGAGUUGGAUUUUUGAGUGAGUUUGUUCUUAUAAUCAUGAUAAUCGGAUAUGUAUGGUUGAGUUGUUGGUGUAAUUGAUGAUGCUUUUGAUGAUCUAAAUUGUGCUUAUGUGUGAUUGACAACUUAUGACUUGUUCUUAAUCAAUAUGUGUCAUUGUUUGUGUUAAGUCCGGGCCGGUAAACAUGACCUAGAAUGGUAAAGAGUCAUAGGUUGCAUGCUAGGAUGUUUUUGAAGUCCGCGUCGGUAAAUUACUUGAAACAUGGAAUUUGAUUUGUUUCUCCAUAUGCAUGAUUUAGGUUGUUAGGUUGAAAUUGCAUAGCUACUUGAUUAUAUGAAUCUGAUUUAGUGUUUUCUUAUGUGCAAAGAGACGAUCACAUGUAUAUAAUAGCUUAGGUUUUUGUUUCUUUUCAGUUUAUGAUUUUCGUCACUCUUCUGUUCCCUGUUUUCUUUUAUUUUAUUUUUGUAUCAAACAAUCUCCUAUUCCCCUGAAAAUUUGUACAGUUGUUCCUCUGUGUGUCUAAUAUAUCUCUGUAAAUUUUCGUAUUUUUCUGGGUUAGGUUUUUAAUUAGGUUUUCGACUGCUGUUCAUUAGAAACAGUAGCUAUUUUUGUAAAUUGUUUAAAGAUUUUAUUACUUGUUAAUAUUAGUUAUGUUUUACUAACGCUUUGUUUUGCAAGGUACCUUCAAUCCCCGGCCCUAUACGAUACCCUUAUUUACCUUAUGUUACUGACGAUAAAAAGGGUUUAUUUGAUGCAGGUUUUGCACCCGUCAAACCUCUGUGCGGACCUCCGCCUCUGAACGCCUCUGAUAUAUAUAUAUAUAUAUAUAUAUAUAUUCAGAACUUUUUGUGUAAAUAACGAUUAUGAAAACCCAAAUGAUCAUCAAAUUCAAUGAAAUUGGCAGGAGUGAUCUAUGCAUUAGGUUCUACAAACUGAACGGUGGGGAUGUGAAAAUAUGACCGAAAAGUAAGUCAAAUAAGGAACUUCACACUUUAAUUUCAAAGUAAAACUUCGCUCUGGAUAGGAGCUGUAUACAUAUAUAUAUAUAUAUAUACAGGAAUUCUCAGGUGCGGACGUCCGCACCAAAGUUUUGGUGCGGAUUUCCAUUUUUGCACCACUUUUCGAUCGAAUUUUCUCAUCUCCACCGUCUAGUAUCUAGAUAAUAUUGUGUAGAUCAUCUCUGCAAAAUUUCAGUUAAUUUGGUAAUCGUUAAGGCCCUCAAACUCGAAAAACAAAUCUGACGAACUGAAUUUUGUCCGGUUGUGUUCAUACCGGAAAAACUCGAGUCUGAGGGUCUUAACGAUCACCAAAUUGGCUGAAAUUUUGCAUAGAUGAUCUACACAAUAUUAUCUAGAUACUAGACGAUGGAGAUGAGGAAAUUCGAUCGGAAAAUGGUGCAAAAAAUGGAAAUCAGCACCGAAACCUUCGGUGUGGACGUCCGCAGCCAAGAAGGGCUGUAUAUAUAUAGGGAGCCUUUCCAAAGAAGACGUCCGCACAGCCCUUAAAGUGCGGACGUCUCUCCGUUCUCCACCGUCCGGCGCCGACAACGGCGCUCCUCCACCCGAGUAGACACCAGCGGUGUCCCCGAUCACUUUCUCGAUCUCCCCGGUGAGUCCACCGAAUUCCAGUUUUCUAGCGAGUCCACCCAAAACUUAAGACAAGAUCGAUCUCGCCGGAAAACUGGAAUUCGGCGGACUCGUCGGGGGGGGGGGGGAGAGAAAGUGAUUAGGGACGCCGCUGGUAUCUGCUCGGGUGGAGGCAUGUUGUUGUCGGCGCCAGACGGUGGAGAACAGAGGGACGUCCGCACUUUAAGGGCGUGCGGACGUCCGCCUCUGAUCCGGACUGUUAUAUAUAUAUAUAUAUAUCAAUGUUCUAAAAGGCGCUAGGCGUUAGGCGCUAGGCGGGCGGUAACCCACAGCCUAGAGCCUGGACAGCCUAGGUGAGGAUUAGGCGGGGACUAGGCGAUUUGCAUUUUUUAAGAUUUAUUAAUUAAAAAUAUAUAUUUUAUGCAAUUUAAUAUUUGAAAACGGUCAAAUAUAGAUAAAUUAUUCAACAUAAUCUAGUCAUACUCAUUUAUAAAAUAAAUUAUAACUAAAAUUUAGCAUAACUUCCUGUAAAAGUUAGCAACAACAGCAAUAAACAUAUACACUUAUAAUUUUAAACACACAAUUAACUCUUAUACUCUCAUACUCCCCACAAUAUAACAAUCCCACCACAAAAAGAAAACAAAAAUAGCCGUAGAGCUUAGCAGCCUAGGCGGGCAAGGCGGCAUCUAGGCGGGCUAGGCGGCAUUUAGGCGAGCUAGGCGGCCGCCUAAUCGCCCACAGUCUGGCACAAAGGCCUGGAAGAAAAGCGAGGCAGCUUGUUGCAGCCUAGAGCCUAGGUGGGGACUAGACGGUCCUAGGCGGGGCCUUUUAGAAGCUUGAUAUAUAUAUAUAGGGACAUCCGCAUGCCUCUGAUCAGGACUAUAUAUAUAUAUAUACAGAUUUUCUCAGGUGCGGAUGUCCGCAUUUAUGCUUACGGUGCGGAUUUCCACUUUACACUCACUUUUCUAGGGCUGGCAUUGGUACGGUACCGGCGUUUUUUUGCCAAAACCAACUACCGUACCAACUUGUUAUGGUGCAUGAAAUCAUCUACCAAUGCUGACCGGCAAAGUUGGUAUACCGAACUCUCGGUUUGGUAUGGUACGGUUGGGCCGGCUACCGACUUCAAAAUGGGCCACUUUUUAUAAAAAAAAUAAGACAUGGCCCAUUGGCCCAAAUCAUAUUUUCCUGCUUUGAAUUGAACUUGAACUGAUGCAGAUCAUGCAGCAUUAGCAGCAAUAUCAAGUUAUCAACUACCAAACAUUCAAACUAUCAAAUUAAUGAUCAACCAAAACUUACAAAUACCAUUAAGGCAUUAACCAACUGCUCAAGACCUCAAGUGCUCACUGCUCAACCACAAAAGCACAAACAUGAGACUAUGAGAGUGAGACAAUGAGAUUAUGAGACUGAGACCAUGAACUGAUGAAAGUAUGAGAACACAAAGUCACAAACACAGAAAACUGAGAAAAGCACAAAACCAAGUUAACCAAGUAACCAACUGCUCUACAGCCUCUAGGCCCUCUCUACUGCUCAAGUGAACUUUAUUACUAACCUUAGUAACCUAUAAGGCUAUAACUCAAUAAGUCACACAGCCACUAACAUAAACACAGAAAGUCAGAAACUGUCAAACUAUAAACUCAACCUGCUCUAAAGUCUAAACUCUAAAACUUAGUUGAAAAACAAACUUUGAAAACCUGCACAGUAACUUUAAAAACAAACUUUCCAAGUUUCCAAUUUCCAAGCCAACAUUGACAAUAACAAUUAACAAGUGAACAAACAAGUGAACAAACAACAAAACAAACAAGUGAACAAACUUUCCAAUUUCCAAGCCAACUGCCAAAGUGCCAAUAACAAUUAACAAGUGAACAAACAUUGAAACCAAAAAAACCUGUACAAGUGUAAAACUGCAGCAUAGUAACACAGUUCAAAAAGAAACUAAUUCCAAGUCAAGUAGUCAACUGCCAACACCCAACAACAAACACACAU